rnacentral:rRNA from 1 species
UCUUGAAAUUCAAAGAAUUUGGCGGUAUUUUAGUCUAGUUAGAGGAACCUGUUUUGUAAACGAUACUACACGUAAUAUCUUACUUAUUUUUAUUCAGUUUGUAUACCGUCAUUAUCAGAUAACUUUGACAGAUAGGAGUUAUUGGGACUAAAAUAUUAAGUAAAUUAGAUCAAGGUGCAGCUUAUGAGUAAGGAGGAAUGGGUUACAAUAAAAUUUAUUUACAACGGAUUAAUUUUCGAAGGAGGGUUAUUAAAGGUGGAUUUAAUUGUAAUUAUUGUUUAAUAAGUUAUAAUGAUAUAAGAACUAAAUUAUGUACAUAUCGCCCGUCGCUA